rnacentral:lncRNA from 1 species
AUUAGUUAUUUGCUUCUGAAACCAUUUAGCUUGUAGAAUGGUUUCAGAGAUUUGUACUCUGAAACUAUUUUUCUGGUAGAAUGGUUUCAGUGAGUUGAUGUAAGGUAGUGAAAAAUGAGAUUAAGGUAGUGAAAAAUUGAGUUUUUUUUUGUGUCCAAAUCAAACGAAGCAAGUCUCUAUUUGUAGAGAAAAAAAAUUAUGAAUUUUGGUAUAAAAAAUAAAAAAUAAAAAAUUAAUUUACGACGAAAUAAUCGAGUUUAAAGUAUUAAAUGGAAAAAAAUUAACGCAGCCAAUCAUAUGCUGACACGUGGCCUGCCUUUUCAAAAGGCUUUCUCUCUCCGCGUCAUCCUUCAGACCACGCGCGCCUGUCGGCGCGUGUG